rnacentral:RNase_P_RNA from 22 species
UCAGAUGGCCGGACGGCCGCAGGUCCUACCUGAGGAAAGUCCGGGCUCCCUGGCGGCAGGGUGCCGGGUAACCCCCGGCCGGAGCGAUCCGAGGGAAAGCGCCACAGAGAUCGAACCGCCUCGGUCCGCCGAGGUAAGGGUGAAAAGGUGCGGUAAGAGCGCACCGCCGCAUCGGCAACGCUGCGGGCAUGGCAAGCCCCACCUGGAGCAAAACCGAAUAGGGAUGGGAGGGGCCCUUGGGCCCGGGGGCGCCGCCACCCCUUACCCAUCCGGGUUGGUUGCUUGAGGCCGCCCGCAAGGGCGCGUCCCAGAUGAAUGGUCGUCCUCCGCCACGGCAGAGACAGAACCCGGCUUACGCGGCCGUCUGACACU